UUUUGUAACAGUAUUACCAAAAGUGGGAAGGAAAGAAGCCAUUCAUGGUCUGCACACUCAGAGGGCUAAGCCAGGGCUAAGCACCUGAUGUUGGACACAGCCAUAACUCACACAAUGUUCCAUCAGAAACAUUGUUGUGCAGAGUAUACACCACUAAGUUAGACACUGGAGUGAGUUAUGAUUGUGUCCAAUAUCAAGUGUUUAGCCCUGGCAUAUAAGGAAAAUCUGACCAGAGCUCCAGCCCUUCCCAAAUCCAGCCCUCCAGCUCUUCACAGCCUGCUGCUGUGAACCAUGCAAUAAGACACCUAUCUGAUAGACCCUUUCAGCAGCACAACUUUGAAGGGAAAACAGCCUCAGCCUGGGGGAUCUUAUACUCUAAGUCUUUAGAGGGCAUUCCAAGCACUGUGGAAUACCCAGUAGUGAGCACAAGGGACUGGUGUCCCUCACUGUUGAAGUUGCACCACUGGAUGGCCACGGCCAUCAUUCUAUCCUGUCUGAUGCUCAGCCUCAGAACCAGUUUUGCUGCAUUUUCAAGUAACAGGCAGCAUGUAUGAAUCCAUGACCCUGAACAGAACUCCUGAGAGUAUUUGAUGAAUCUAUAGAUAUAAAAUUGUCAUUCUGGACAUCAUGGAAACAUCUAGCUCAUCCAUAUC